rnacentral:rRNA from 1 species
CAGCAGCCACGGUAAUACAGAGGGUGCAAGCGUUAAUCGGAAUUACUGGGCAUAAAGCGCGCGUAGGUGGUUCGCCAAGUUGGAUGUGAAAUCCCCGGGCUCAACCUGGGAACUGCAUCCAAAACUGGCGAGCUAGAGUAUGGUAGAGGGUGGUGGAAUUUCCUGUGUAGCGGUGAAAUGCGUAGAUAUAGGAAGGAACAUCAGUGGCGAAGGCGACCACCUUGACUGAUACUGACACUGAGGUGCGAAAGCGUGGGGAGCAAACAGGAUUAGAUACCCCCGUAGUCCCUGUCUCUUAUAC